rnacentral:rRNA from 1 species
CCUACGGGCGGCAGCAGUAGGGAAUAUUGCUCAAUGGGCGAAACCCUGAACCAGCAACGCCGCGUGAAGGAUGACGGUUUUCGGAUUGUAAACUCCUUUUGUUAGAGAAGAUAAUGACGGUAUCUAACGAAUAAGCACCAGCUAACUCCGUGCCAGCAGCCGCGGUAAUACGGAGGGUGCAAGCGUUACUCGGAAUCACUGGGCGUAAAGAGCGCGUAGGCGGGAUAGCAAGUCAGAUGUGAAAUCCUAUGGCUUAACCAUAGAACUGCAUUUGAAACUGGUAGUCUAGAGUAUGGGAGAGGUAGGUGGAAUUCGUGGUGUAGGGGUAAAAUCCGUAGAGAUCGAGAGGAAUACUGAUUGCGAAGGCGACCUGCUAGCACAUAACUGACGCUGAGGCGCGAAAGCGUGGGGAGCAAACAGGAUUAGAUACCCUUGUAGUC